AUUGCUCACUCUCCCUCAAGGGCUUCCGAAUUUGCCUGUUAAAGGGCUUAAACUGAAGCGCUUGGGGAAGAGUGGAUAA
rnacentral:pre_miRNA from 2 species